rnacentral:lncRNA from 1 species
AAUCAAGGUAUAGCUGAUUUACGAAGCUUACACUUUUGGUCCUAAUACAGUAAGCAUUAUUGGACUUGCCCUCCAUCUAGUGCACACAUAAUUGGAGUUCCAAAUACGAGAAGGGAGAAACAUUAGGGCAAAAAAAACCCUUUAGAAAUGAUACAAAAUUACUACAAAUGUGGUUAAAAUGCCAGCAUAUUUAUCUAAGAAAUGCAACAAGUCCUAAGCAUUAUACAGAAAAGAAAAAUGAAAUAGAGAUUCAUCAUUGUAAAAUUACUAAAAAUGAGUGAUAAAAAGGAAGUAUUACAGGAAACUGGAGAAAAAAACAUUAUGUACAGGAGAUCAACUACACAAAUGACAUCUGACGAUCAUCAGAAACAGCAGAUCCGGGAAAACACUGAAGUGACAUCCUUAAACUGCUAAAAGGAAAAACUGGCUGUCAUCACAAUUUCUAUGUUUAAUACAAAUGUUCAUCAAAAACGAAAGACAAAGAAGCUUCCUAAUUAAGAAAAACUGAGAUCUUUUGCCAGUAGACCUGGUCUGAAAAAUGUGAACAGAGCUUCAGGUUGAGGAAAUUACACAUGACCUACACUAAGAAUGAAGAGUGACACCUACAGAAAAUAUGCGACAAAAUAUGUUUGUGUUUGUUCAUGGGUUAACUUCUUUAAAAGUAAAAAGAAAGGCGGGUGAAAAAUGCACACAAAGUAUAAAUUUUAUGAUAAAUGCUAAAUUCUAAACAACCUGCGGGCCUAUAUAUAAUAAGUGAUAUUUUAAAUUGGUCAGAAGUCAUGAAAGUUUGAGAAACAUAAUGGGUUGCUCAAGUAACUAGCCUGUAAAAAUGCAGUAGACCACAGACAUCUACAAUUUUGGAGACUUGCAAUUUUUUUAUGGUUACUACUUCCAACUUUAUAACCAUUUGUGUCAAUGGUUGACUUGUUAGAAAAAUAAUUGUCAUUUGCCCGAGUCAUCCCUCUGGAUACUGAAGUUUCAGAUAAUAAAGUUGGAGCUAGAGGAAGCUAUGAGAUCAGGAUCCUAAAAUAAGUGUUCUAAUGACCAAGAAGAGGGAGGAUUUCUUAGCCAGGAAAUUCCUUAUUGAUUGCCCACAAAAUGAGACAGAGUUCAUACAUUCAAAUAUUUUUAGUCUCAUAGAAGCAGGGAAUUCUGCAAGCGGAAGCUGAAAUGCUAAGUAAGAUGGAUGUCUUCCAGUCCCAAUGGACCUGUGCUGUGAGAUUCAAUUAAGUGAACUGUAGAGCCUUCACACACGCACGCACACACACACAAUCACAGAUAUAAAUAUAUAUGCGUGUGUGACUCUGAGUGAAUAUUUAUUUUUAUUUAUUUAUAUUUUUAAGGGCUGCACCUGUGGCAUAUGGACUUUUCCAGGCUAGGGAUUCAAACCAGAGCUACAGCUGCCUGGCUGUGCCACAGCCACAGCAAUGCCGGAUCCACUGAGCGAGGCCAGGGACUGAACCCACAACCUCACGGAUACUAGCAGGGUUUGUUACCACUGAGUCACAACGGGAACUCCCUCUAAGAUGAGUGAUAGUUUAGAAUCCAAGAAUCUUUUGAUUCCUUGUAACUGGACAUUAUGUUUAAUGUUUCAUCUGAAAUAUCAACAUAUGUAAUAGAUUUAAAAUGCUAAAGGGCCAUGCCAGAACACAAUAAGAAUUUUAAAGGAGAUGACUGAGAAUGAUUUAGACAACUGUUACACCUAACAAUGGUUAAGAAGUUUGAUCAUGCAAAAAAAUAUCUAUGGAGAGAUAUUUUUGCAUACAGUUGCUCUCCUCCCAUAUAAAUCCUGCCCUCCCAAGGAUAAUAGUGGGAAAUGAACUGCUCAGAGUACUUUAUGUGUCCCUGAAGUCUGUGGGACAUUUAAGAGGCUGUGACACAUGCCUGAAAGGUCUAAAAGCCAGAAGGUGGCAAUGGGCUUGAUGGACAUAAUAGAACACAUUUACUGAUGCACAGACAAGUAACUCCUGCCCCUUCUGAUCAAAGUGUGGGCAUCCUGGGAGCAACCCAUGUUAAACACAAGGAAAGAAUAUUCUCUAUGUGUACAUUCUGUCUUUUUUUAGGGCCACAUUCACAGCAUGUGGAAGUUCCUGGGCUAGGGGUUGAAUUGGAACUAUAGCUGCCAGCCUACACCACAGCCACAGGAAUGCCAUCUCCGAGCUGUGUCUGCAACCUACACCAAAGCUCACGGCAAUGCCAGAUCCUUAAACCACUAAGUGAGGCCAGGGAUCCAACCUACAUCCUCAUGGAUACGAGUCAAGUUCAUUACCGCUGAGCUACAAUGGAAACUCCUCUAUGGGUACAUUCUGAACAGGAGAAUUUUACCAAAAGAUGACAGGCCACUAACAGGAACUGUUGUAAUGUAUACUGAAACAAACAAAACAAACCAACAAGCAGUCUGAAUGGAGAGGAAAUGCAUGCGCAACUCAUAUAAUCAAUCUUGUCGAAGGAUUUUUAGAAGAACCAUGUGACGAACCAAUGAGAGAGUCAGGUGGAAGUAUGUGAUGGUUCUAGAAGAAAGGCAUUUUAAGACUGUCCCAUUCAAGUAGGAUAUUCAGCUCCAAAUCCAUUGGUGCCAGUAACCAGUUAGCUGGAGGGGGCAGAAGGAGAAGUGAGCAGGCAAAAGAGAAGAAGCCAACCACCCUGUCCCCCCAUGAGGGCAGCAAUCCCACUGAGUAUAGAUUCUAGCUGGAAGAAAGAGAAGAAAGCAACCCUUUCUGAAUGAAGAGUAGAGUUUUAAUUAACAUACUGAUGUGUCAUUUAAGCUGCUGAAAUGAAGCUGGCCUUAAUGACUGACAUGGCCCUAGGCUGUCUAUUACAUACAAGCUGAGAGAGAAGCCGUGGGCCUUGCCAGAGUUUUCACUGAGUUGCAAGAAAGAGCAUUUCCUUGCUACAUAAGCAAAGAGAAAGGGUGGGAGAGAAAUAUAAAUCACAUUUACAUUAUACCCCUCAUAUUAUCCUUGUUCAAAAUACAAAUCAUCUCCCAUUAAUGCAUUUUCCCCACAACUUCCAUAUAACCAGAAGCACUCAUUUAGUAUACUGGCAAUCCCCCACAACUAAUUAAACUUAUAGAUUCAAUACACAGUCACGGCUGUUAAUUUUCAGAAUAAUGCCUUUCUUGUCUUUAUAUAGGUUUCCCAGUGAAAACAGAAAGUGUCUAGGUUUUACAGUCAAAACAUUAGGGUGAAUUAUCUAAACCACAGUUUACUCAUAUGCAAACAGAAUGACAAUAAUUACCUUUUAGGGCUGUUGCGAGGUUUGUAUAAUUAAUCCAAAAAGAAUGAAUACACCUUAAUCAUUUAAUUUAUGCCGCUGUCAUUGGAUUGCUGCAAUUGUUCUCAAAAACAACAUUUCCUAAAUCAUUGCCUUGAGUUGCUUAGAUAGAAACAUAUGGAUAAAAUAUUAUAAAUAACUUCAAUUUUAUUUGAUGUCCAAUUUUUGCUUAACCACUGAGACUUUUAAUUUGACUAGCUAAUCAAAAAAGGGGAAUUUUAGAAUGGGAAAAUAUGGUCUAUUAAAUAAUUACAUAGAUCACAUGAUACAAUAACAAAUUUUAAAAUCAUGAAUUCCCUAAAGUGUACUUUUAAUCAAAAUCUAUGGGAAUAUUUAUAAAAGAUAAAUAUAAGGCUGAAAAAAUUUUUACAUGAUUUAUUGAGGCAAUGUUCACAUAAUAGUCAUCAUUUUAAAGUAAAAAAAUUCCACGGGGGAGGUGUGGCCGAGAUGGCAGAGCAGGAAGACUCUGAGCUCACCUCCUUCCAGAGGCACACCCAAUCAUAGCUGUUUACAGAGCGACUGUUGGUUGGGACAACCUGAAGACUAGAUGAAAAGCUUUCCACAACUGGAGCAAUAAAGGAAUUUCAAAAAGAGAGGCAGGAGAGGUACCGAUGCACUAAAGACUUACAAACGGGUUGCAGGUACUACUUGGGAAGCUCCCAAUGGAAGGAAAACCACAACUGCAGAGGUCCUUCCUAAGAAGCCAGGGUCUAAGUCACGCGGUAGGCUCUCCAGCUUGGAGACCCUGCCCCUGACUCAUGAGCUCCCAGGACAUCCGGCUUUGACAGCACUGGGGCUGGUGUAAAGGAGUGAGGAGUUCCCAUUGUGGAGGAUGCGGGUUCGAUCCCUGGCCUUGCUCAGUGGGUUAAGGAUCUGGCAUUGCCAUGAGCUGUGAUGUAGGUCCCAGACACAGCUCGGGUCUGGUGUUGCUGUGGCUGUGGCAUAGGCUGGCAGCUACAGCUCUGAUUUGACCCCUAGCCUGGGAAUAUCCAUAUGCCAUUGGGCACAGCUCCAAAAGUACAAAUAAAUAAAUAAAUACAUAAAGGACACAUGUGAAACCUCACAACCUCUAAGAGCAGAGAGGCAGUAACUUGAAAUAAGCCUGGGUGAGACCCACCUGCUGAUCUUGGAGAUCCCUCUGGGGAGGCAGGAUGCAACUGGAAUACCCUGGGGGAGACAGAUGCUGGUAGUAGCCACUUUGGGGAGAUUGCUCUACCACAAGGACACUGGUGAAGGCAAGUGUCAUUUUAGAGACCUCCCUCUAGUCUAUCAGAAGUGGCACUUACGUGCCCACUACCCUGUUGGCACAAGUCCCAGGACCCCUUCCCUCAGACUGAGUGCACAGCUGUGUGCAGACUCAGCCCCAAUCACCAGUGGGUUGGCACCAGCCCUUGACCUCCCCAAGCCACAUACUGUAACUUACCAGAACCAGAGCCUACCCAGCAGAAGGAUGGCAGCCUAUCCAAGAGACAGGGCCUGGAGCCAAGUGGGCCAGGACCCAGUUGCACCUACAAGUGUGCCCACAGUUACUGGCUCCACCACAAUGGAAGAGCACAUGCAGCCCACAUAUGAUGGGAUAGAGCUCUGGUGACCAGAAGGGACUGUGCCACUGGGCUCCAUAGGAUGUCUCACACAUAAAGGGCACUUCUCCAAGAAAUGGAAACACAAGCAACCUACCUAAUACAUAGAAAGAAAACCAGAGAAACAGACAAAAUGAAAGGGCAGAGGCGUUUGUUCCAAACAAAAGUACAAGAUAAAACUCCAGAAAAGAUGUAAAUGAAGUUAAGAUAAGCUAACUAUUUAAUAAAGAGUUUAAAGUAAGUUACAUAAAAAUGGUCAACAAACUCAAGAACGCAAAGGAUUGGAGUUCCCAUCAUGGCACAGUGGAAACGAAUUCAACUAGGAACCAGGAGGUUGCGGGUUCAAUCCCUGGCCUCGCUCAGCAGGUUAAGGAUCUGGUGUUGCCAUGAACUGUGGUGUAGGUCACAGAUGCAACUCAGAUCUGGUGUUGCUGUGGCUGUGCUGCAGGCUGGCAGCUGUAGCUUCCAUUAGACCCCUAGCCUAGGAACCUCCAUGUGCCAUGAAAAAGACAAAAAGACAAAAAAAAAAAAAAAAAAAAAAAAGAACGCAAAGGAUGAUCACAGUGAAAAGAUUAAGAAAGGAAAUAUGAACAAGUUGCAAACAGAGCUGAAGAAUACAAUAACAAAACCAAGACUUACACUAGAAGAAGUCAACAGUAGAUUAGAUAAUACAGAGAAAUGGAUCUAAACUGGAAGACAGAGUAGUGGAAAUCACACAGGCUGAACAGAUAAAGGAAAAAAAAUGAAAAGAAAAAAGAAGACCUUGGAACUAUCUGAGAAAUUAAGAAAACAAUCCCAUUUAAAAUUACAUCAAAAAUUAACUUUGCUGUUCACCUGAAACUAACAUUGUAAAUUAACUAUACUCCAAUAAAAUUAAAUUAAAAUUGUAUCAAAAAGAAUAAUACCUUGGAAUAAAUCUAACUAAAGAGGUAAAAGACCUGUACUAGGAAAACUGCAAGACACUAAUGAAAUAAAUUGAAGAUGACACAAACAAACGAAAAGAUAAACCUGCCAUGAGCUGUGGUGUAGGUUGCAAAUGCAGCUUGGAUCUGGCAUGGCUGUGGAUGUGGCAUAGGCUGGAAGCUGUAGCCUGAGAACCUCCAUAUACUAUGGGUGCAGCCCUAAAAAAAGCAAAAAAAAAAAAAAAAAAAAAAAAA